CCGAGGCAAGAAGGAGGCGGAAAAGAAAUUGUCCCGGAUCCCUGCAGUCUUUCCGUAGGUUGUGGUACCACGCCAGGCAAGAGAAGAGGAAGGAAAUUAACCAGAUCGGUGAAGGUCGAUUUGAGGGUCUGCUGUAGCAGGUGGCACCUCUUGAAGCAAGGGAGGAACUUUCCCCGGAUCAGUAGAGAUCAGAAAGAUUGUUGGGCGUGGCAAUACCUCACAGGAAAGGAAGAAGGGGGCAAACUGCUUGUUUCCAGGAGGUUAGUGUAUGGGUGCCUAUCCCAUAGGGUAUCACAGGAGCCUGUGACGGAUGAGAGCACAGAAAAAAUUGCGGAUGCCGUUGACUUUAUGCUUAGAGGCAAGAGUGACUGGGGGUGGGGGGAAGGGAGGAGAGGCAUUCAAGGAGAGAGUGAAAUGAGGGAGAUCGAGGUUUUUGUCAACAAUAUGUAUUCCCUAUGCAGAAUUCAAUUACUACCUUCUGGCCCCUCGGUGUGAUUGUCUGCAUGGGGCAGUGCAGAGAAGAGAAAGCUGAACCCUCUUUUCUUCUUCCAUUUCUAGGUUUGUCUCCAGAACCAGUUACACUGGCCUUGAAGUGACUGAAGAAGACCAUUCUCCACAGGCCUGCACUUAGGCCCGAAGCCCUCUUCCCCUAUUUUGAGUGACUACUCUAUUUCUUUGUCCCUGCUGUCGUCAGGGACGAUUGCAUGGGCUACGCCAGGAAAGUAGGCUGGGUGACUGCAGGCCUGGUGAUUGGGGCUGGAGCCUGCUAUUGCAUUUACAGAUUGGCCCGAGGAAGAAGGCAGAGCAAGGAGAAAAUGGCUGAGGGUGGCUCUGCUGAUGUGGAUGAUGCUGGGGACUGUUCUGGGGCCAG
rnacentral:lncRNA from 1 species